rnacentral:rRNA from 1 species
UACGUAGGUGGCAAGCGUUGUCCGGAAUUACUGGGCGUAAAGGGCGCGUAGGCGGUCUUGUAAGUCUUGUGUGAAAUCCCUCGGCUUAACUGAGGAACUGCACGGGAUACUGCGAGACUUGAGUUCGGGAGAGGGAAGCGGAAUUCCGGGUGUAGCGGUGAAAUGCGUAGAUAUCCGGAGGAACACCGGUGGCGAAGGCGGCUUCCUGGACCGACACUGACGCUGAGGCGCGAAAGCUAGGGGAGCAAACGGG